UUUUGUGUUGUUGUUUUUUUUAUUUUUUUGGCGUUUACGUAACCCACAAUGUCUCAGAACUGCAAAUCUUCGUACACAACCGCGACCACGAGAGACGCGAAUAACAACACCCUGUACCACGGGGGCAGCGGCCAGGGGUACGGGGGGAGGGGCUACUCACCCCCCAGCGUGACCAGCAAUGGAAACUAUCAGCAAAUGACAGCGAAAGUACUGUUUGGCAGCGUCACGACGAUCAAUGACCUCAAGCGGCAGGACAAGACGGAGAGGGAUGCGCGGCGGACGCACUAGCGACAUCUAGACUCAGGCGCUGAAUAUGUGAUAAGAAAAUAUGGGAAGCUACGGAGUGAUCUCGGAAGACAGAGUUUAUUGUUCAUAAUAAAUAAUAAUAUUAAUAUUUUUUAUAUAAAUUUUAUAUUAUAAAAUAAGAAAUGCAAUUUUUAAGUAACACGAAUCAUUAUAGAUUAGCUAAUAACAAAACAAUUUUACAGUGACAUCUGUUGACACAAACUGUCAAUUAGUUGUUAAAAACAAUGAUUUAUUUUAGUAAGAUAGUUUUUAACAGAGUUAUUAUGAAUGUGAGUACCUACAAAAGCCAUGAGAAAUUAAAAUGAUUCCUAACGAUACCCGCCUCCUUAUGAAUUUAAACAAAAUUAAUUGAUCUAUAUUUUCUAAAUAUCAUAAGAAUUGUAAUGAGAUUGAUAAUUACUAGGUACUUGUUAAAUAAAAAUAAAGGUUGUACUUAAAGAUUGGUCA